UACGUAGGGGGCAAGCGUUUGUCCGGAAUUAUUGGGCGUAAAGAGCGUGUAGGCGGCCAGAUAAGUCCGCUGUGAAAUCUCGAGGCUCAACUUCGAGCUGUCGGUGGAAACUAUCUGGCUAGAGUCCGGAAGAGGAGAAUGGAAUUCCUGGUGUAGCGGUGAAAUGCGCAGAUAUCAGGAAGAACACCCGUGGCGAAGGCGGUUCUCUGGGCAUGUCCUGACGCUGGAGGAGCGAAAGUGUCGGGGAGCGAACAGG
rnacentral:rRNA from 1 species